UUGACUCGGGGUGAAACUCCAACAGUCUGCCUUCAGCUCCUGUUUUAGCUGUCACGGUGUCUCACAUAAGGGCAUUCUAGGCCCUACUGACUUCUUAAGUAGCUUCCGUAGUUUGUUUUCCAGAAGCUUCUUUUUGAGCUUGGUAUGUGAAAAUUAAUUGGGGGAUUUGCAGUUUACAGAUGUGUUCAGGCCUGUCGAAGCAGGCGGUCACAGGACGCGGUUCCUGGGAGGACGCCCAGCUGUUGCAGUCCCUGCUCCAUCUUUGAGGGGCCCAGACGAGGCAUGGGUGCUGGGAACGCAGUGAGGGGUGUCACUCGCUGAGGCUGGUCCAGGCCGGCGUGUGAGCGGAGGCCCCAGUGUGACCCGCACGCCUGUCAGAUGGGCCGGAUGUGGGGGCCUGUGACAGUGCUGUUGCCUGACUGAGCGUGUGCGUCAGCCUCUCCCGUGUGUCCUGCCCCCGAGGGACCCUGAAGGGAGGGGCCCACAUGCCCCACGCCCCCCACAUGCCUGCUGGGCGCCUGGUGCCCAACAGGAGGUGCAGCUCCAGGUCCCAUCAUCCGGGCAGGCUUGUCAGGGCGCCGCUCAGGUGUGUCCCCAGGCUGGGGAGACAGCCGUAAAUACCCUCCUCUUCUCUGGUCUUAGCAGCCCUUGGAAGUGCAGCGUUAGGUGAAAAAGUAUUUCCUAAUCAGAGGCACAAAAUUUCAGUUUCCAAGGAAUCAGAAAUACCUGUUCACAACGUUAUAAGAUAAAGGAGACGCGUGGUUUCUUUUUCCCUUGACUUAAUUUCACAGCUUUUAUUUCAGGAUUGAGCUGUUGUCCAAGAGCACUAUUUCUAUUUCCGGCUUCAUUAGAAAAGUACAAGGGAGUGACAGCAUAUGCUUUUGUCCCGUUGGGAGAAGACGGGCCUCUGAGUGAAAGCAAAGUUACCUAACAUCUCGUGUGUUUCAGGUGCUGAAUAUGUUGAAUCCAGUUCAGAUAGAAGAUCUAAGUAAUUCUGGGGUGUGUUGUCCACAAAACUGGUCUGAGUGUGACCCCCACCCAGCUGCUUUGUGCCUGUGGCUCGUCUCCCCCGGGAGCCUCAGCGACACUUGACCCCGAGGCCCCCUUGCCGGCAGCGCAGACAGAGGAGUGCUCUGGGUGGGCAGGUGGUCUGCAGGCUCCUCCGGGAGCGGCUGUGGUGCUGCCCACCCUGCGUCCUGUACUUGCAGAGGUGCCACGGACCUGUGCCCCAGAUUCCCCUCCCGCAGCCCCACAGGACCGUGCAUUCAGCCAG
ensembl:lncRNA